rnacentral:rRNA from 1 species
GGAGAAAAGCAGGGGAUCGAAAGACCUCGCGUUAUUGGAGCGGCCGAUGCCGGAUUAGCUAGUUGGUGAGGUAAAGGCUCACCAAGGCGACGAUCCGUAGCUGGUCUGAGAGGACGACCAGCCACACUGGGACUGAGACACGGCCCAGACUCCUACGGGAGGCAGCAGUGGGGAAUUUUGGACAAUGGGGGCAACCCUGAUCCAGCCAUGCCGCGUGAGUGAAGAAGGCCUUCGGGUUGUAAAGCUCUUUCGCAAGGAAAGAAAACUUAUCUACUAAUACUAGGUGAGGAUGACGGUACCUUGAUAAGAAGCACCGGCUAACUACGUGCCAGCAGCCGCGGUAAUACGUAGGGUGCGAGCGUUAAUCGGAAUUACUGGGCGUAAAGCGUGCGCAGGCGGUUUCGUAAGCCAGAUGUGAAAUCCCCGGGCUCAACCUGGGAACUGCGUUUGAAACUACAAAGCUAG